GAAAGUGUGUGUUCCCUAAUGAACACACACUUUCUGAUGUUCUGUUACCUACCAGCUGAAACCCCCCUUUUCUCCACCCAACUUUACACCACUCUCUUAGCAUGGGUGGCUGUAAGUACACUAGAGCAAACCUAAGUUUCCUUUUCUUUGGGUAUGUUUUUAGUUUUAAUUUUUUAUUAUUAUUAUUAUUUUUUUUUUUCAGUUGUCCCCGCCAUCUUUAACCUGACCCCCAUUAGUACUAUCCUGACUAGCUCACUGUAAACUGAAAAAAAUUAUCAAACUGUCAACCAAAAGUAAACGCAUCACCUGUGGAUGCAGUAGAGUAAAGCUAAGUUUCCUUUUGUUUGGGUAUUUUUUUUUUCUUCUUCAGUUGUCUCUGCCAUCUUUGUCCUGACCAUUAGUGCUGUCCUAACUAGCUCACUUAUGAGCAGAAAAAAAUUAUCAAACCGUCAACCAGAAGUAAAAACAUCACUUUGGACCACUCAAAGACACAGUCUACCUGCUGUUUAACCCAGUCUUUGGUCAGAGGUGAAGAAGAGAUGACAUCCUCCACACCAUCCCCCUGCUGCUCUCAACAACCAUCAUCACUGUGCUGGACAGACUGCAGCACCCACCGGGACCCUUCUCUCAUGGACUACACAAACAUGUGUUUUACCUGCUUGUGCUCCAGAUGUCCUGAAGCAGCUCUCAAGGACCACCAGACACCAGACUGAAGCAGAACUGAUGCUGUAGUACCUGUCACUCACUUGGCUCGUUCCUGCUGAACCUCCAAGAGAUAAACCCCUCUUCAAGAAAGUCUGAGGUAAUGUCUUAGUGAACUUGUGUUCAUUUAUUUUUCUUAGUAAUCUUAGCUGCUGUAUUAAUGCUUGUGAUGCUAUUGUACAGCUCUGCUGAUACCAUCGUCUUUAACAGCAGUGUUUUCUCCCAGGUCUUCUUCAAGCCAGUUAAGAGAGGAAGAACAGCUUAGACACUCAGACAGCUGAACACACCAAAGGUGGACAUCAUGCAGCCACCCUGAGCCUUGAGCCUCUCUGUGUGACGAAGCUUUGCUGCUGCAGACCUGGUGAAGUUGCUCUGGACAGAAAUAUUUUUUGCUCUGCUGCAGUGCUGAAGGUAUUCAUUGUAAUGAUGUGUGUAUUUAUUCAAUAUGUUUAGUUUCACAGAUUAUCAACACAAAUGUUUCUGUUUAUUUCCAGUUUUGAACCAGCUACAUUCUCCCACUUCAAGUCACUGUCUGUUCAUCCACGGUGUAGCUAGUGCAGCUCAGCAGAGUCCUACUAAUGGUGAUCCUUCAAGUCCUGCAGUCCUGUGAAGCAAGCUGCAGCAGAUGUCAUCACAUUCAGAUCAUCAGUUUAUCUCUACUGCAGCUUUAAAGUUUCCCUGAGGUAACGGUGUAUUUCCUUGCCCCAUAACAAUAACCAUGUUUGACCAACAUAGAAAAGCACAGAAUUACUGUUAGCACAGGAUUACAUAGUUAAAGUGAAGGGGAUUUUGUUUGUUUUUUUCAGACCUCUCCUCCUCCUGCCUCUAACUCCAAUGAUGCUGUCAACUCGAACACUGAUAACUGCACACAGCGAUUCUACAACCACAGGUCAAAGGUCAAAUCAUUACCUCACUCUAAACCUUCACUCUGAACUGUACCGGGCUCUGCUUUUGGUUUUGAAAAAAAGUGCCCAGACAGAACACAGUACUCACAUGAGGAACUGACUGAUUGUCUUUAGGACAGGACAACUAUUACUCUUGUAUUCU